GGUCAUGUGGCCUAGUGGUCAUGGCAUCUGCUUGGUAAGCGGAAGGUCGUGGGUUCGAUUCCCAUCCCUUGACACU
rnacentral:tRNA from 1 species